rnacentral:rRNA from 1 species
UACAGAGGGGGCCAGCGUUAUUCGGAAUUACUGGGCGUAAAGGGCGCGUAGGCGGUUCGAUAAGUCCCGUGUGAAAUCCCUCGGCUCAACUGAGGAAUGGCACGGGAAACUGACGGGCUUGAGUUCGGGAGAGGGAAGCGGAAUUCCGGGUGUAGCGGUGAAAUGCGUAGAUAUCCGGAGGAACACCGGUGGCGAAGGCGGCUUCCUGGACCGACACUGACGCUGAGACGCGAAAGCGUGGGGAGCAAACAGG